UAGCCUAGUGGUUUGGUUAAGGCAAUGGAUCGCCAAUCCAGAGACGGCGGGUUCGAUUCCCGU
rnacentral:tRNA from 1 species